rnacentral:rRNA from 1 species
UUUCCAGAGAUGGACUGGUGCCUUCGGGAACUGUGAGACAGGUGCUGCAUGGCUGUCGUCAGCUCGUGUUGUGAAAUGUUGGGUUAAGUCCCGCAACGAGCGCAACCCUUAUCCUUUGUUGCCAGCGAUUAGGUCGGGAACUCAAAGGAGACUGCCAGUGAUAAACUGGAGGAAGGUGGGGAUGACGUCAAGUCAUCAUGGCCCUUACGACCAGGGCUACACACGUGCUACAAUGGCGCAUACAAAGAGAAGCGACCUCGCGAGAGCAAGCGGACCUCAUAAAGUGCGUCGUAGUCCGGAUUGGAGUCUGCAACUCGACUCCAUGAAGUCGGAAUCGCUAGUAAUCGUGGAUCAGAAUGCUACGGUGAAUACGUUCCCGGGCCUUGUACACACCGCCCGUCACACCAUGGGAGUGGGUUGCAAAAGAAGUAGGUAGCUUAACCUUCGGGAGGGCGCUUACCACUUUGUGAUUCAUGACUGGGGUGAAGUCGUAACAAGGUAACCGUAGGGGAACCUGCGGUUGGAUCACCUCCUUACCUUAAAGAAGC